GGGAGAUGUGCGUCCCAAAACGUGGUACGCUAGAGUUCUGAAACGCUUCAAUAUGUGACGUGGUUCAUUGAAAUAAGGGUUCCUGUUCUUGAUUUCAAUUUAAUUUUGGAGGUGUGUUUCCAACUUAACAGAAGAAAAUAACAAGGAGAAUAAGAAAGAAAAUUUAAGGAAAAACAUAGCAGAAACAAUGCCUAGAAGGAAAAGAAGUUGUUUCCAAGGGAAUCGGUUAAACAACACCGAAAAGGAAAAGAAUAAAGAAUAAGGAAAACAAAGGAGAAACAAUGCCCACAAAGAGAAGAAGAAAGAAUAACGAGAAGAAAAAAAAAAUUAC
rnacentral:misc_RNA from 1 species